GGUAUCAGCCAGUGUGGUCUAACCUAGCUAUCUGUAUCGGUAUAAUCCACUGUCGGUCAACCUCUAGUAUACAGAGCAUCAA